rnacentral:piRNA from 1 species
UGGGACUACUGCUGGUUCUUGGCAUGGGC